rnacentral:rRNA from 1 species
GACGAACGCUGGCGGCGUGCUUAACACAUGCAAGUCGUACGGUAAGGCCCUUUCGGGGGUACACGAGUGGCGAACGGGUGAGUAACACGUGAGUAACCUGCCCACAACUUUGGGAUAACGCUAGGAAACUGGUGCUAAUACUGGAUAUGUGCUCCUGCUGCAUGGUGGGGGUUGGAAAGCUCCGGCGGUUGUGGAUGGACUCGCGGCCUAUCAGCUUGUUGGUGGGGUAGUGGCCUACCAAGGCGGCGACGGGUAGCCGGCCUGAGAGGGUGACCGGCCACAUUGGGACUGAGAUACGGCCCAGACUCCUACGGGAGGCAGCAGUGGGGAAUAUUGCACAAUGGGCGCAAGCCUGAUGCAGCAACGCCGCGUGCGGGAUGACGGCCUUCGGGUUGUAAACCGCGUUCAGCAGGGACGAAGCUUUUUGUGACGGUACCUGCAGAAGAAGCACCGGCUAACUACGUG